rnacentral:rRNA from 1 species
GCUGGCCGGCGUGCUAAUACAUGCAGUCGAGCGAAUGGAUUAAGAGCUUGCUCUUAUGAAGUUAGCGGCGGACGGGUGAGUAACACGUGGGUAACCUGCCCAUAAGACUGGGAUAACUCCGGGAAACCGGGGCUAAUACCGGAUAACAUUUUGAACCGCAUGGUUCGAAAUUGAAAGGCGGCUUCGGCUGUCACUUAUGGAUGGACCCGCGUCGCAUUAGCUAGUUGGUGAGGUAACGGCUCACCAAGGCAACGAUGCGUAGCCGACCUGAGAGGGUGAUCGGCCACACUGGGACUGAGACACGGCCCAGACUCCUACGGGAGGCAGCAGUAGGGAAUCUUCCGCAAUGGACGAAAGUCUGACGGAGCAACGCCGCGUGAGUGAUGAAGGCUUUCGGGUCGUAAAACUCUGUUGUUAGGGAAGAACAAGUGCUAGUUGAAUAAGCUGGCACCUUGACGGUACCUAACCAGAAAGCCACGGCUAACUACGUGCCAGCAGCCGCGGUAAUACGUAGGUGGCAAGCGUUAUCCGGAAUUAUUGGGCGUAAAGCGCGCGCAGGUGGUUUCUUAAGUCUGAUGUGAAAGCCCACGGCUCAACC